AGAUCUGGGAGAGUUGAAACUCAAGCCCACCAAAAGGCGAAUUAAAGCUGCUCAACCCUGGAGAUGCUCCUAAGCUGCAACCACCGCUGCUUCUGAAGCUGAGAAUGCAGGGUGGCUGGCAGCAGAAAAACAAGUGGACAGUGUUGUCACACACUGGCCAUUCCCCGUUGUUCCUUCUCCUCCCCAGGCAGAAGUCUGGGGCUUACCUGGUUGAGAGAAAGACGUUUUGCUCAAUUAAAAAAACCCAAUAGAGUGGAGUUCUGUCGUGGCGCAGUGGUUAAUGAAUCCGACUAGGAACCAUGAGGUUGCUGGUUCGAUUCCUGGCCUUGCUCAGUGGCUUAAUAAGGAUCUGGCGUUGCUGUGAGCUGUGGUGUAGGUCGCAGACGCAGCUUGGAUCCCACAUUGCUGUGGCCCUGGCGUAGCCCGGUGGCUACAGCUCCGAUUGGACCCCUAGCCUGGGAACCUCCAUAUGCUUCGGGAGCGGCCCAAGAAAUGCCAAAAAGACCAAAACAAAACAAAACACCCAAAAACAAACAAACAAAAAACAAUGAGUAGAGCGCCAUGGAGUCAAACAUACCUGGAUUCAGAUUUCACCUUCUCUGUCUCUGAGCUCUGUGACCUUGGCCAUGGUGCUUAAAUUUUCUGCCCUCCAGCUCUCUCCUUGGUAAAUGAAAACGUGGAAAAUAGGAUCAAGCUCCCAGUGAGUUCAGGGAAUAAUAGCUACAUCUGAGGGUUACUUUGCACACAAAUGUGAUAAUGUGUUUAACUAUGCAAUAGAGUACUCGAUAAAGCUUAACUAAUAUUAUGACAGUGUUUUUGAAAAAUAGAAGAAAAAUAAACUCAGAGUAAGGACAGGAAUAAAUAUCUGGCUCUCAGGACACACACACACACACACAGAGUAUUAAAAAACUCUCUUUUUAUGUAGGUGAGUGAGGGGUAGACAGAGUAAAACUUCUGAGGGACAGUUAUAUUUUGCCUUUGUGUUUAACUUUAAAGGACCAUGUUAAAAGAAACAGUGUCAAGUCUAGCAAGGAAGGAAAAGAGAGAUAUAUUUCCUAAGUAAUCUUUUUUUUUUUGACUUACCUUCUUUGUGAAACAAGGUAAUAUACAAAUAAAUCCGAGGGAUUUACUGAGUACCAGGCACUAAUUUCAAUUAUAAAAAUUGUGUAGUUACAAUUUUAGUAGCAUCGCUUUAAUUUAUAGUCUUUCAGUUUAUUUUCGUAAUUCCCCUGUGAAAUAGAUAACACCUUUCAGUUGGUUUUGUUAGGAGGCAUGAAAGAGGCAAGGUGGUAAAAAAAGAAAAGAAAGUGUAUGAGUGGCUUAAACGCUGGCAGAGCUAUGGAAGCAAGAUACAGGCCAUCUCUGUGUCCUAGGCACCUAUUUUACAACUCACUGUAACCAUUUGUUAGUUUCCUGUGAAAAGUACAACUGCCAAAUGAGUUAAAAUACCACCUAUCACCUGGUUUGCAUAUUCUCUUCCCAGUAAAAACAGUGUUUCCAUGGAAAUUCAAAUUGGUUGGUAGAAACUGCAGUCAGAGCACAGCCGCGGGAUGAUUUUAAUGGCUGAUAUCAUCAAAUUGUGACACAUGCUGUCCCCCACCAUGCUGUAAGGCAAUAUUUGCCAAGCAGCCAGAGUGUCCAUGUCGGGUGGCCAAGUCACCUUCCUCUCUGGGUGGUGCUGAAACUGCCCUGACAGAAUCGAGUGCUCUGGCUUCAUGCAGGCCGUCUGGUGACAUGUACUCUUCAGCGAUCUUUUAGUGCAGUUGGGCAGGUGAAAGCCUUCACUUGCAUCAGGCCACAUUCCAGUCAUGCCUUCUUGAUGCGAAGUACGUAUUUCAGAUGACAACUGGAAAAACUCAGUUUGUGCAGGGAUUAAAAACGAGUGAUGUAUCCAUAUGGUUUUUGAAUAUUCUUCAAAGAGAACCCAGCAAUUCAUUAAAAUGAGCUUGAGUUCAUUUUGCUAAGAAUGAAGCUAAAGAUGAUUAUUGGAUUAAACACACAUGGCACUGGAAGCGUAGGUGCCAGUGUCAGAAUAGAGAACGCACAGCCUAUGUCAUUCUUUGUAUUAUGUGUGCGUUUAAGAUGCCAUCAAAUGCUUUUAAUCACUACCCUUAUGUUAGAAGCUUUGUUUGUCUUUGCUAGUGAAAUGUCACUUCAAC
rnacentral:lncRNA from 1 species